CAGGACGAACGCUGGCGGCGUGCUUAACACAUGCAAGUCGAGCGAUGAAGCUCCUUCGGGAGUGGAUUAGCGGCGGACGGGUGAGUAACACGUGGGUAACCUGCCUCAUAGAGGGGAAUAGCCUUUCGAAAGGAAGAUUAAUACCGCAUAAGAUUGUAGUACUGCAUGGUACAGCAAUUAAAGGAGUAAUCCGCUAUGAGAUGGACCCGCGUCGCAUUAGCUAGUUGGUGAGGUAACGGCUCACCAAGGCGACGAUGCGUAGCCGACCUGAGAGGGUGAUCGGCCACAUUGGGACUGAGACACGGCCCAGACUCCUACGGGAGGCAGCAGUGGGGAAUAUUGCACAAUGGGGGAAACCCUGAUGCAGCAACGCCGCGUGAGUGAUGACGGCCUUCGGGUUGUAAAACUCUGUCUUUGGGGACGAUAAUGACGGUACCCAAGGAGGAAGCCACGGCUAACUACGUGCCAGCCGCUGC
rnacentral:rRNA from 1 species